rnacentral:rRNA from 1 species
CAGUAGCCGCGGUAAUACAGAGGGUGCGAGCGUUAAUCGGAUUUACUGGGCGUAAAGCGUGCGUAGGCGGCUUUUUAAGUCGGAUGUGAAAUCCCUGAGCUUAACUUAGGAAUUGCAUUCGAUACUGGGAAGCUAGAGUAUGGGAGAGGAUGGUAGAAUUCCAGGUGUAGCGGUGAAAUGCGUAGAGAUCUGGAGGAGUACCGAUGGCGAAGGCAGCCAUCUGGCCUAAUACUGACGCUGAGGUACGAAAGCAUGGGGAGCAAACAGGAUUAGAUACCCCUGUAGUCCCUGUCUCUUAUAC